UACAUUUAAAUCGCUUUUUGUAUGUAAAUUACGUUUAAAUCUUUAAAAAAUGGUUAGUUGCUCUGCGUUUGGAUGUACCAAUCGAUCAGAAAAGUGUAAAGAAGUCAGUUUUCACAGAAUCCCGUCUGUGAAAAAGAAAGAACUCAGACAAAAAUGGCUAAACAAAAUACGUCGUACAGGUGAUCUACCAAGCGAUCGAAGUUUUUAUAUUUGUUCGUCGCACUUCACAGAUAGUUCUUUUAAAAGGGAUCUCCAGGUAAUAAUCUUCCAUAUUAAAAUAUUGCCACUUCGUAAAAAUGCCAUUUUAGCUAGUCAACGCGAUCAAAGUUUCUCAUUUCUUCUUCAUUUCAUUAUUUGUACUUAUAUCCACAACACAACCAAAUAACGUUUUCUACAUAUUUAUAUUAUAAAAGAACAUUAUACCAAUUUCCAAUACAAAGUUAUCUAGUUAGACAUGUAUCUUUCGUAGCGCUCGUAAGUUUCUAUUCUUUGUUUUUCAAAAAAGAAGCUUUUUGAUGGAAGGACCUGCCGAAUAUUUUCAGGGGGUAAAUGUGCCCAUUUUAUUAGCAUCAUUUCAUCGGCGCUACUUCUAAUCUUUGUUUAUUUAGGCUGAACUUACUGGUAUCAAAAGAAAGAGACAGCUGACCGAGGAUGCUGUUCCAACAAUUUUUUCUUUUAGUAAGCCUGAAAAUUCAAGAGAAUCGACAUCAAAAAGAUUGGAAACUUUCGCUAAAAAACAAUGUGUUGCAAAGGCUUUAAGUGUGGAGGAUGAUGUUGACCUUGAAGUAUACGCUGAACAAGAAAUAAUUUCAUUGGUUAAGGAACAAGGCGUUAGUGCAAUUGUGGAAACGGUAGAGAAAUCGGUUGGUGCCAAUACUUUUACCAGGUCCGUUAGAACACAAUGUGAUCCCUUAGAGGCAAUUCAUCCUGAGAUACAACCAACGAAGGAUGUUUUAAAAGUGAAAUUUACUCUUCCGCACGGACGAUGUAAGUAAAAAAAACUCUUGCCGACAUGAACUAUUUGGCGCACUUUUGCCAUACGGGAAGCCUAGAGGUAUUCCAUUCUUUGCUUACCAAAUAUUGCCCGAAACGUAUUCAUUUCAGCAUGGAAGGUAUGAUCGCGCGCACGCAGCUGGCUGUCCUUGAUUUUAACUCGGGGACUAAUUGUGAACAGGCUGUUACCAAAAAAGGAGUACUCCGCUAUAAACAAGUCUUUUCACGAGUAACACAAUCCUGGGUCGUAAAAAAAAUUACCGAGAAGAAAGAAAAGGCGUAUUUAGCAGAAUUAAUGACGGCUACUUUGGAACCAAUCGACAACGAAAAAGAUAAGUUACCACAAACAGGAGAAAUUGCUGAAAGAAUAACAGAGGUUGAAAAACCCGACAAAAGCGAUGCCAUUAAAGCCAUCAGGACAAGAUUUAAAACGUGACUUUUUUAUUUUUUUAUUUUUAUUCAACUUUCUUUGAAUAAAACAUAUUUUUCA